AGCUUUGCACAGUGGCAGUAUCGUAGCCAAUGAGGUUUAUCCGAGGCGCGAUUAUUGCUAAUUGAAAACUUUUCAUAUAAUCACAGAUAUACAGUGGUCAGGCUCCUUCCUGCUCAUUUGCUUUGGAUGCAUGAAUUUUAAUUUUUUUGCAGUCUAUGUCAGU